rnacentral:rRNA from 1 species
UACAGAGGGGGCGAGCGUUGUUCGGAAUUACUGGGCGUAAAGGGCGCGUAGGCGGCCUCUUAAGUCGAACGUGAAAUCCCCGGGCUCAACCCGGGAACUGCGUCCGAUACUGGGGGCUUGAAUCCGGGAGAGGGAUGUGGAAUUCCAGGUGUAGCGGUGAAAUGCGUAGAUAUCUGGAGGAACACCGGUGGCGAAGGUGGCAUCCUGGACCGGUAUUGACGCUGAUGAGCGAAAGCUAGGGGAGCAAACGGG